rnacentral:tRNA from 1 species
AGGCUCUGGGGUGUCACACGCCAGAUUGCAAGUCUGGAGACGCAGAAGAAGUUCUGCCGGGGCUUC